GCUCUUAUAGCUUACCUUUAAAGUAUAGCGCUGAAAACGCUAAGAUGAGCCCUAAAAAGUUCUAAGAGCA
rnacentral:tRNA from 1 species